rfam:Streptomyces albulus strain NK660, complete genome.
CUUCACCGACCCCAGGAACAGCGGACGGUCCGGGUCACGGUCCUGACCGUAGGUGGCCAGGAGCGCCUGGGCCUC